GUGCCUGUAGCGUAAUGGCUAGCGCGUUGAACUUGUAAUCCAAAGGUUCGAAUCUCACCUGGGAUG